rnacentral:rRNA from 1 species
AGCGAACGCUGGCGGCAGGCCUAACACAUGCAAGUCGAACGAAGCCUUCGGGCUUAGUGGCGGACGGGUGAGUAACACGUGGGAACGUACCUUUUGGUUCGGAACAACUCAGGGAAACUUGAGCUAAUACCGGAUGAGCCCUUAGGGGGAAAGAUUUAUCGCCGAAAGAGCGGCCCGCGUUAGAUUAGCUAGUUGGUGAGGUAAAGGCUCACCAAGGCUACGAUCUAUAGCUGGUCUGAGAGGAUGAUCAGCCACACUGGGACUGAGACACGGCCCAGACUCCUACGGGAGGCAGCAGUGGGGAAUCUUGCGCAAUGGGCGAAGGCUUGACGCAGCCAUGCCGCGUGAAUGAUGAAGGUCUUAGGAUUGUAAAAUUCUUUUACCAGGGACGAUAAUGACGGUACCUGGAGAAAAAGCCCCGGCUAACUUCGUGCCAGCAGCCGCAGUAAUAC